GGGGGAUGCUAUUUGCCUUUGCUAUGGCUUGGAUUGUUACCCUUCCAAUUGGGGUCAUUCAAGCAACAACUAACCAGCAACCUGGAUAUGAUAUUAUAGCACAGUUCAUUAUUGGCUAUAUUCUUCCUGGAAAGCCAAUUGCAAAUCUGCUUUUCAAGAUCUAUGGGAGGAUCAGUACAGUUCAUGCUCUGUCUUUCUUAUCUGAUCUUAAACUUGGUCAUUAUAUGAAAAUCCCACCAAGAUGCAUGUACACCGCCCAGUUAGUCGGGACGCUAGUUGCUGGGACGAUUAACCUGGCCGUUGCUUGGUGGAUGCUGGACGGUAUAGAGAACAUCUGUGAUGUUGAUGCUCUCCACCCUGAUAGUCCAUGGACUUGUCCAAAAUACCGAGUCACAUUUGAUGCUUCUGUUAUAUGGGGACUGAUUGGACCAAGGCGGUUGUUUGGACCCGGUGGACUGUAUCGCAACUUGGUGUGGCUAUUCCUGAUCGGAGCGGUCCUUCCAGUUCCCAUCUGGGCAUUGAGUAAAGCUUUCCCUGAAAAGAAAUGGAUUGCGCUGAUAAACAUACCAGUUAUCUCCUAUGGCUUUGCAGGGAUGCCACCAGCAACUCCUACAAACAUAGCAAGCUGGCUCAUGACUGGAACUGUUUUCAAUUACUUCGUCUUCCGGUACCACAAGCGCUGGUGGCAGAAGUACAAUUACAUCCUCUCGGCAGCGCUCGAUGCAGGGACCGCUUUCAUGGGUGUUCUGCUUUUCUUUGCGCUGCAGAAUGCAGGCCAUACCUUGAGCUGGUGGGGAUCACAACCAGAUCAUUGUCCUUUGGCAAAGUGUCCAACAGCUCCCGGGAUCGCCGUGAAAGGAUGUCCGGUAUUCUAGCAGCAGCAAACUGAUCAUGGUUAUGCAAGAAAUGCCAUGAAGAAAUGGGAGUUUCUGAAGAUCUUCGAGUCCUAGGGACGAUGAAACUGAUAACAAAUAUGUUGCGGAGUUAUGUUCAGAUUCUUGCUUUGGUUUAGUUGUUUAUAAAUGCCAGUUGAUUGUAAUGAGCGGUUCAAGUGAUUGAGUGGCCUCCAUAUGACAUCAAGUUGAAUACAAGUUGUGCUACAUCCUUUUAGUUUUGAGUAUGCUACUGGAGAUGGCAAGCACAAAAUAAAAGCAAAAGUCUUUUUCUUUUCUUUUUU
rnacentral:misc_RNA from 1 species